GGAGAGGUGACUGAGCGGCCGAAAGUGCGCGAUUGGAAAUCGCGUGGAGGGUAAAAGCCUUCCCGAGGGUUCGAAUCCCUCCCUCUCCGCCA
rnacentral:tRNA from 1 species